rnacentral:lncRNA from 10 species
CACACACACACACACACAAGCACACACAUAAUGGAGGGUUGACUAUGCUUAGUGGCUUACUUUCAAAGAGUAGAGUAUUCAAAAUAAAAUUGUGGAGAAACAUGAAAACUGCUACAUUGGCCAGGCGAUCAAAGUGAAUAUUAUAAUUGAUAAGUCAAGUAAAUAACAUGUACUUCCACUAUGCUAUACCAUCGAUGCUUCACUUCUAUGAUAUUCUUUCUAAAAACCUGUAACCCUAGUCUAACCAUGAGAAAAACACCAAAUCAUCCCAAAUUAAGGAUGUUGGAUGAAGUGCCUGUCCAAUACACAAAACCGUCAAGUUGGUGAAAAACAAAGUCUGAGAAACAGUCACAGUCAAAAGGAGCCAAAAGAAAUCUGAAUACUAAAUGUUAUGUGCUACCUUGGAUGGGAUCCUGGAACAGAAAAAAAAAAAGAGGCAUUUUCCCAACGCAAAUGGCAGCAUAAGCAUCUGAGAAUCUGAGCAGCCCUUGCAAGCACCUCACAGAAGCUGAAGAAACAAAAGUUGGAGUUCAGAACCUAUCAAUGUGGAGGCAUUCUAGCAAUGAACUCUAGAGUUAAGAUGGGUCUCCCAAACAAAUGAAAACAAACUGUGAAUAAAACAUUCCUUUCAGAAAAUAAAAGCAGUCACUGAAUGACCUCAAUCAUUGACCUUAGUAUGGACAUUUGCCUUUGUCUUAGCUAUGGCUGAAAAGC